AUUGAACGCUGACGGAAGGCUUAACACAUGCAAGUCGAGCGAGCGGCGGAAGGGUGAGUAAUGUCUGGGAACCUGCCGGAUGGAGGGGGAUAACUACUGGAAACGUUAGAUAAUACCGCAUACCAUGAGAUCUUCCCAUAUGGGAGUAGCUAGUAGGUGGGGUAAUGGCUCACCUAGGCGACGAUACCUAGCUGGUAUGAGAGGAUGACCAGCCACACUGGAACUGAGACACGGCACAGACGCCUACGGGAGGCAGCAGUGGGGAAUAGUGCACAAUGGGCGCAAGCCUGAGACAGCCAGGCCGCGUGUGUGAAGAAGGCCUUCGGGUUGUAAAGCACUGUCAGCGAGGAGGCGGUACUAGCAGAAGAAGCAACGGCUAACUCCGUGCCAGCCGCCGCGGUAAUUC
rnacentral:rRNA from 1 species